GUGUCAGCAGCCGCGGUAAGACGGAGGGUGCAAGCGUUGUUCGGAAUUACUGGGCGUAAAGCGCGGGCAGGUGGCUUUUUAAGUCCUUUGUGAAAUCCCGGGGCUCAACUCCGGAUGUGCAGAGGAUACUGGAGAGCUGGAGACUGGUAGAGGCGAGCGGAAUUCCUGGUGUAGCGGUGGAAUGCGUAGAUAUCAGGAAGAACACCGGUGGCGAAGGCGGCUCGCUGGGCCAGUUCUGACACUCAUCCGCGAAAGCGUGGGGAGCAAACAGGAUUAGAAACCCCAGUAGUCC
rnacentral:rRNA from 1 species